rnacentral:lncRNA from 1 species
CCGUAGAACCCGACGCCGCCGGAGGAACGCUCGCCGGCGGAGGACGCGCCGCCACCGGAACUGCCGCAAUGCCCUCGCCCUCAGCCGCCGUAGGCGCACGAGCUGGAGGCGGGGGCAGACCACGGCCCUCAGUUGCAGCUGCAGUUGCCGCCGCAAAAUGCCGCUCCAUAAGCCCUUGGAGCUGCUCAAAUCGACUCUCCUGGCGCUGUACAAUGCCGGCCAAUGCCGACACCUGCGCCCGUAACUCCUGCACUUCACUAGAUCCGGCUUCCUCGGGCACCUCAGAAGACGG